rnacentral:rRNA from 1 species
GUGAGAAUCUACCCAUGAGUGGGGGACAACCCGGGGAAACUCGGGCUAAUACCGCAUACGCCCUACGGGGUAAAGCAGGGGACCUUCGGGCCUUGCGCUGAUGGAUGAGCUCGCGUCGGAUUAGCUUGUUGGUGAGGUAAAGGCUCACCAAGGCGACGAUCCGUAGCUGGUCUGAGAGGAUGAUCAGCCACACCGGGACUGAGACACGGCCCGGACUCCUACGGGAGGCAGCAGUGGGGAAUCUUGGACAAUGGGGGCAACCCUGAUCCAGCCAUGCCGCGUGUGUGAAGAAGGCCUUCGGGUUGUAAAGCACUUUCAGCAGGGAGGAAGGCUUACCCCUAAUACGGGUGAGUACUUGACGUUACCUGCAGAAGAAGCACCGGCUAAUUUCGUGCCAGCAGCCGCGGUAAUACGAAAGGUGCAAGCGUUAAUCGGAAUUACUGGGCGUAAAGCGCGCGUAGGCGGGUGUGUUAAGUCGGAUGUGAAAGCCCCAGGGCUCAACCCUUUGGAAUUUGCAUCCGAUACUGGCACGCUAGAGUUGCAAGUAGAGGGAGGUUGGAAUUUUCCGGUGUUAGCGGUUGAAAAUGCCGUAAUAGAUUCGGAAAGGGAACACCCAGGUGGGCGGAA